GGCCAAUAGGUGCGAGCGCAGGGCGUGGCAUCGGACACGGCCCCUUUGCCUCCCUCCCGUGCCGGCGUGGGGCGGGGCCUCCCUGCCCCCCUUCCUCCAAUGGGCGUCGGCAGUUGGGGGGCGUCGCCCAAUGAGCGGCGGCGGGGGGCGGGGCCUGGCGGAACGGCCGGGCGAGGCGUACAAACGACACCGCCCCGUCGCCGCCGCCGCUCCCGGCCCGGCCCGGCCCGGUCCGGCCCUCACAGCGCGGCGAGAUGGCGGCCUGCGGCGGCCUCAACAUCCAGAUGCUGCUGGAAGCGGCCGAGUACCUGGAGCGGCGGGAGCGAGAAGCCGAGCACGGUUACGCCUCGCUGCUGCCCGGCGGUAAGGACGGGGAGACCCUGCGGCGCCGCGCCAAGGCCAGGAAGAGCGGUGGCGGCAGCAGGUCGACACACAACGAGAUGGAAAAGAAUAGGCGUGCCCAUCUACGGCUGUGUUUGGAGAAGCUGAAAGGGCUCGUACCGCUCGGACCCGAAGCCAGCAGACACACCACCCUGAGUUUACUAACGAAAGCCAAAUUGCACAUCAAGAAGCUUGAAGACUAUGACAGGAAAGCCGUACACCAAAUAGACCAGCUGCAGCGGGAGCAGCGGCACCUGAAAAGGCAGCUGGAGAAGCUGGGGAUAGAGAGGAUAAGGAUGGACAGUAUUGGAUCCACUGUUUCUUCAGAGCGCUCAGACUCGGAUAGAGAAGAGAUAGAUGUGGACGUGGAGAGCACGGAUGACCUUCCCGCGGACCUCGACUGGAGCAGCAGCAGCCUGAGCGACUCGGACGAAAGAGGGAGCCUGCAGAGCGUAUGUAGCGACGAGGGUUAUUCCAGCUCCGGCGUGAAGAGAGUGAAGUUGCAGAGCAAUCACAAGCCUUCUCUCGACCUGUAAGGAGCAACUCCCGUAGCCGUUUCACCCAUUGCCGUUUCCCUUUUGGAUCUCGUUAGGUAGCACACCAGACCGUCCUGCCAUUCUCUUGCACAUAAAAAAAAUCUUAAUGAACUGCCGACCAGAACGAAGCUGAGCUUUGCGCAAGUCCCAAAACCCGGCGCAGGGCUGCGGGUGGCAAGCUGCUCCCCGGAGCUCGCAUCUGCCAGCUUCUCUUCCCGUCUGAAAGUCCUCUCUGCAAGACCGUACAUUCCAGCCACGUUUUGAUGCGCCCGAGACUAUCCCAGCAGUAACAGCAACCUCAAAAGCCCUCCGCUGGGAUUUUUGGCUUGCUGUCACCACCUGGUAUUCCCAAUCUACUCCGCAUCUGCCCAGCAACAUCACGUACCCGAUAAUCGGCAGCAGGGCCCAAAUGUAAGAGUUUGUGGGCAAGUAUCCGAAGGCAGAGCCAACCUCUUGCAUAGUUUAGAUCCAGGAGAGAGCAGAGGCAAGUCGGCAAUCGGGAAGCGGAGCAUUUCUGCCGCGUCACGUCUCGGACGGGCGCAGGGAUUGCACCCGCAGCCGCCGGCACAUUGAUCAGAGGGCUUCUCUCUGCCGACUCUAAAUAUUCCGGGUGGCAGCACAGCCGUGUACAGCCCAGCCCAGCCCAGCCCUGCCGUCAUCCCGCAGCUGGAGCCUUACUGGCAUGGGGAACGCCACUCAGGAAGGGCUGUGGGACUCGGCACUCGUCAUUUGGGGUCGGACGCCUUCGGUCUGGGAAGUUUUCUGUCCUACCUAAAAUCAAACGGUCCCUGUUCCCAUCCUGUGCGACGUCCCACCUCCUGCUUCGCGGCUGCACAGUGCUGUUCCAGGCGAGCGCUCCUGGAAUUUUUUUCAUGCUUCUUGUCUCUGGGACAAAUUUUUUCUACCUCGGAGAGAUGAACAAAGAUUAUCUCCAUCCCUUUAGCACAAAAAACAAAGAUGAUGCCUCAUUUGUUUUACAGAAGCGAUGCCCGGCCCCAUUCAAAUCCAUCCCAUGACAGUUUAGCAAUAACCCGACGGUGAGGGGGAGCGGGGCAGCCUCUGGCCGUCGGCGCCCGAGGGGACCCCACAGAUCUUCACUGAAGCACUUCUCCGGCCAGCGGGGAUCUUUUCAGGCACUCAAAUGGGCUCGCGAAGGAUUUUGUGGUCGCCACCUUAGGGAGAGAAACCCAAACACACCACGGAAGGGCCAGAGCCCUUCCCACUGCCCUGACAGCGGAGGGGUCCCGACCUGAGAGCACACGGAAAUGUACAGAAAACACACGAGCUAUAAAUAGUAUUUAUUCCUUUUUCUAUGUACUGGAGAUAACAUUCUUAUGACUUUCUGCUUUUAUAGAUGUUCUGGAAACUUUGAUACGUAGAGGUCCGCUAACAGAGAUGUUUCUUUUCCCCUUGAGCCAGGCGAAGGUCCUUUCCGCCCCCUUGGCAAACCUCUCCCUCGAUCCCUGUCGGCACGCGGUGAGGAGCCGCUUCGCUCUCCAAGGGCUUUUUUUAGCAGUGGGAGACAAAACCGAGCUUCCCACGGUCUGUACCAAUCCGUUCAAGAAAUGCAGUUUCCAAAACGCCGGAAGCCACCGAGAUGCUCCAUAAACAGACGGAGUUUUCCAACGUCCGACGGAUUUGCACUCACCCGCAACUCAGAUGCCUUUAGCGCCGGUACGCCCGAGGCAGCCAGCCUUUGCCACGCGAGCUCAAAACCCCUGCGCUUUCAAAAAUGGGGGGGGGGAAGGCAAAAGGAUGAAAAGCACAGAGAAAAGGAAGUGGAAUAUCAGCACUUUGAGGCAUUUGCCGAGCGCCCUCCCUCACCCUCUUCCAAAAACCGCCUCAGGAUUCCCUCCGGAGCGGCGGCUCUUGCUGCCUUUGAGCAGGGAAGGGUGACAUCCAGCACUGGGAAAGCACCGUCGGGGUUCAACGGGAGGCAGAAAACAGUUAAUUUUUGGUUGUCGUUUAGGUAGGCUGAGUCUUAAGGUUUCAAUUCGGUGUAAAUUAUUAAUUUUUUUUUUCAGUGUUGUGCCUUUUUGAGUUACCCGCCUUCUUCCCUUGGUGAAAGGCUGCGUGGGGGUUUACUCCCCGCCCCCCCCCCCGCCCCCUUCUUCUUUUUUGUCCCAAAAUAAUAAUUAUCGGACCUUUUGCACUGUUGGGAUGUGCUCCUCUCCAGCCUGAGGGCGAAGAGAAAUGGGAACCCUCCAAAAUGAUGCACUAACCUGGAAGGAGGCUGUAAAUCCGGCGGUUGCUUCCCGGCGAGCGGCCGGGACCGUCUCUGGCAGCUUUCGCUCUCUCCAGGUCCCCCACUUCGUCGGCGGAGGCGCCCGGCGGCUGUGCGAGCCUUUUCCUGGAAUUCACUGAUCCACCAGCAUUCCUAAGAAAUAAGCUGCAGGAAGGACAUUUUUGUAUAUUGUGAUUAAAAUAAAAAGGGGAUGCGAGGAGCCACUCGCGCGCCCCACGUUUACAACGGAUCGUUGCACAGACGGGCGUGAGUCGAAAACACGCUUUUUUGGGGGGGUUGUUUUGUUUUGUUUUUCGUUUUUCGUUUUCUUUUUCCUUGCGGAAGGCAGAUCCCAAACCGCUGCUUUGGGUGGCGAGAGAUGGGACCCACAGCCGGGCAGAGAACGGGAAGCUGCUGGGAACGGGGCCCUACCCCAAUCCCUCUGGAGCCCAUCACUGUCCUGGCGCUUUGCUCCCUGAUUUGUCCCCCCCGUGUAGAAAAAGGUUGGGACAUCGCCUGCCGUCACUUGCUCCCUGGAAAACGUCACGUCCUUGCUCUGCCACGGCUAUGGCUGAAAACCGCGACGUUUCUUUCAUCCUUUUAAUUUAUCCAGCGUAGCGGUACGCGAGCCGUCCGAAACGUCUGAUCCAGAACCAUCUGGGCAUUGCUUGUAUUUCCUUUGACGCAUUUUAUUUGUGCUUUUCCAUCUUUUUCUUCCUAACCUUUUGCUUCCCGAGAAGCAAACCUGUAGAGCAUCGGCUUUAUUUUAGGCAUUCGAGAGCCGGGGAGCGGCAGAUGGGAGAAUAGGAAUUCUGUUUCCAGCCGUUCGGUUCCUGCUGUAAAUACCCCGUCGUCAUUCAGAAUCCUGUGUCAAGGCCAUCUAAUGGUGCUUUUUAUUACGGUUAGCACACGCGUUUUUAGAAACUACAUGUUUUAGGAGACCUUUGCUGUGUAUAUGGAGACUUCUGUAUUGUUCGACUGUUAGAAAAUAAAUUAUUUCAUUACGAAAGAGAACCGGCGUGCUGGCCGCUGCCUCGGGAAGCAAGCGGAAGGCUCUCGGGGAUGUUCCGCGGAUGAGAAACGGCAACUGGGGGGCGCCUCCAUCCUGCUCUUCCCAGUCCCGCUGCCCAAUCCCAUGUUUUCGGCACCCAACGGGAUAGAGCUUUGCUGCCGGA